CCACCUUUCAAGCAAUAAUCCCAAAAUACCGUGCGUUCUCUGCGAAAAUCGGUAGUCGCCCGCAGCCACGCAACUGGCGAACACAUUUUUGCCCCGCAAUAACCGACGAGCGAAGGGUAGACACAAUUUUGUACAUUCGGGUAUAACGAAGCGGUAGGGGAACGGCGGAAUGAAACACCUUGAAAAAGUGUCACGGAGUAUACGAGUACAGAACCACAUCGGAACACUUGAAGGAUUAAAUUUCAUGGAAUCGAUAAGUCUUAUCGUGUUAUCCGAGAAUUGUCGUUCAUCGUGUUAUUCGAUCAUCCAUAAUGCUGUAUGUGCCGUGUUGACCUUGAGAUCGGUAAUUACCUGUCAGCAACUGGUUGAGUCAACGCGUGGAUAGAUUAAAAUAAUAUUAGUGUGAAAUACUACGUCUGUAAUGAAUUAACGUCGCUGUUCAAAGUUUCAACUACGACUGUAUAUUUUAUAAGUCAGAUACUAGUGCAUAUCAUCUGAAACACUGUUCGAUGAAUGUUGACGGGUUCUGUCACAACAAACGUAAUCAAAAGCGAGUUAAUAAAUAUUAUGAAGAGCA